CAGGGAUUCCGGGAAGAGACCCUCAUCAGGGGCACCGAAGGGGCAAGCCAUAUGCAGGCGAAUCUCUCAGGUAAAAAGGACCCGGUUUCCGUC
rnacentral:ncRNA from 2 species